UACGUAGGGUGCAAGCGUUGUCCGGAAUUAUUGGGCGUAAAGAGCUCGUAGGCGGUCUGUCACGUCGGCUGUGAAAACCCGAGGCUCAACCUCGGGCCUGCAGUCGAUACGGGCAAACUAGAGUACUGCAGGGGAGACUGGAAUUCCUGGUGUAGCGGUGAAAUGCGCAGAUAUCAGGAGGAACACCGGUGGCGAAGGCGGGUCUCUGGGCAGUGAACUGACGC
rnacentral:rRNA from 1 species